ACUCCUACGGGAGGCAGCAGUCGGUGAAUAUUGGACAAUGGGCGCAAGCCUGAUCCAGCCAUGCCGCGUGAGUGAUGAAGGCCCUAGGGUUGUAAAGCUCUUUCACCGGUGAAGAUAAUGACGGUAACCGGAGAAGAAGCCCCGGCUAACUUCGUGCCAGCAGCCGCGGUAAUA
rnacentral:rRNA from 1 species